GAUGAAGAACGCAGCGAAAUGCGAUAAGUAAUGUGAAUUGCAGAAUUCAGUGAAUCAUCGAAUCUUUGAACGCACAUUGCGCCCCUUGGUAUUCCGAGGGGCAUGCCCGUUCGAGCGCCAUUAUACCCCUCAAGCCUAGCUUGGUGUUGGGGCCUGCUGUUACCGGCAGCCCUUAAAAUCAGUGGCGGUGCCAUCUGGCUCUAAGCGUAGUAAUACUUCUCGCUACAGGGUCCCGGUGGAUGCUUGCCAUCAACCCCUAAUUUUCUAUGGUUGACCUCGGAUCGGGUAGGGAUACCCGCUGAACUUAAGCAUAUCAAUAAGCGGAGGA
rnacentral:misc_RNA from 1 species